rnacentral:rRNA from 1 species
UCUGGCUCAGACGAACGCUGGCGGCGCGUUUAAGCAUGCAAGUCGAGCGGCAAGGGCCUUCGGGCCCCUAGAGCGGCGGACGGGUGAGUAACACGUGGACAAUCUGCCCCCCGGCCCGGGAUAGCCCAGGGAAACCUGGAUUAAUACCGGAUGAGACGGGACCCGCGAUGGCGGGAUCCGGGAAAGGCGCUGCGGCGCCGCCGGGGGAUGAGUCUGCGUCCCAUUAGCUAGACGGCGGGUAACGGCCCACCGUGGCGACGAUGGGUAGCCGGCCUGAGAGGGUGGACGGCCACAUUGGAACUGAGACACGGUCCAGACUCCUACGGGAGGCAGCAGCUAAGAAUCUUCCGCAAUGGGCGAAAGCCUGACGGAGCCGACGCCGCGUGAACGAAGAAGGCCGUGAGGUUGUAAAGUUCUUUUCGGGAGGGGGAACAACCGUGGCAGGGAAUGGCCGCGGGAUGACGUGAAUCCCGGAAUAAGCCCCGGCUAACUACGUGCCAGCAGCGGC